rnacentral:rRNA from 1 species
GAAUAACCCCCUCGUGAGGGGGGAUGCCGGUACCGCGCGAAUAAGGAUCGGCUAACUCCGUGCCAGCAGCCGCGGUAAUACGGAGGAUCCGAGCGUUAUCCGGAUUUACUGGGUUUAAAGGGUGCGUAGGCGGGCUCUUAAGUCUGCGGUGAAAGUCGGCGGCUCAACCGUCGGAUUGCCGUGGAUACUGGGGGCCUUGGGUACGGUCGGGGCCGGCGGAAUGCGUGGUGUAGCGGUGAAAUGCUUAGAUAUCACGCGGAACGCCGAUCGCGAAGGCAGCUGGCCAGGCCGUUACCGACGCUGAGGCACGAAAGCGUGGGGAUCAAACAGGAUUAGAUACCCUGGUAGUCCACGCUGUAAACGAUAUACGGGGGGCCGGCGACACACCGUCGGUGCGUGAGCGAAAGCAUCAAGUGAUCCACCUGGGGAGUACGAUCGCAAGGUUGAAACUCAAAGGAAUUGACGGGGGGCCGCACAAGCGGAGGAACAUGUGGUUUAAUUCGAUGAUACGCGAGGAACCUUACCUGGGCUCGAACGCGACCGGGAGGGCACGGAAACGUGCCCGCCAGCGAUGGCCGGUUGCGAGGUGCUGCAUGGUUGUCGUCAGCUCGUGCCGUGAGGUGUCGGGUUAAGUCCCACAACGAGCGCAACCCCUACUGCUAGUUGCCAGCGCGUCAUGGCGGGGAGUCUAGCGGAACUGCCGGCGUAAGCCGUGAGGAAGGUGGGGAGGACGUCAAAUCAGCACGGCCCUUAUGUCCAGGGCUACACACGUGUUACAAUGGCCGGUACAGAGGGCAGCCACCCCGCGAGGGGGCGGUAAUCCCGAAACCCGGUCUCAGUUCGGAUCGGAGUCUGCAACCCGACUCCGUGAAGCUGGAUUCGCUAGUAAUCGCGCAUCAGCCAUGGCGCG